UGGGGGAUAUUGCACAAUGGGGGAAACCCUGAUGCAGCGACGCCGCGUGGGUGAAGGAGCACUUCGGUGCGUAAAGCCCUAUCGGUAGGGAAGAAAAGGGGGAAACCCCAGACGGUACCUGACUAAGAAGCCCCGGCUAACUACGUGCC
rnacentral:rRNA from 1 species